rnacentral:lncRNA from 1 species
AUUAUUUCUGUCUUUUUAUUGUGGGCCACAGGAUAUAUCUUCAAAGAGAAAACCACUCAAUUGCUUGAGAUAAAGAAAGAAAAUCACAAGGAGUUGAACUCAGGACCUUGUGCUUGCCAAGCAGGCACUGUGCCACUGAGCUAUAUCUCCAGCCCUCGAUCAUCAUUCUUAAAGAAUAAAUGGGAAAUGUCAAGAAUGAAUUUGCAACAUAUAUUCAUUGUUUUGAAUAGAGUACUUAUUCUCAUUGAUACUUACCCUACUGAAUCCUGUUCUUUUAUCCCAACUUUGUAAAUAUGGUUAGAAAGGCAAAAUAAUUCCAGAAAGGAUAAUAAAUUCUGGGACUAAGAUUUUUCUCUCAUUUGUACACAUAAUUAAACAUCUAUAUUCAUUAUUCC